rnacentral:lncRNA from 1 species
GAGCUCAUUGAUCAUCAUAACAGAGUCUAUUGAAAGUCCUCAGCAGGCGGUGUGACGAUGUGACCAGCUCUGGCCAAGGAGCUGUAGGCAGAAGUGUCUUGCAGCAGCUCCUGUAAAUCUUAAAAGACAGCUGGUGCGUGUCUUUUUUCCUUUUUUUUUCCCUUCCCCCUUCCUGCUGCGCUGAAUAUGGAUAUGGUGAGUGAAUCUAGAGCAGCCAUUUGGAGGUAUGAAGAGAUCUUGGAAAUAGAGGCCAUGUGUGUUGAAACAAGACCGAACAACUCCAAGUUCCUGAAGACUUCAUUUCACCAACCCAGAACCUCCUUGAUCAUCACAGUGUUCAAAUGGUUUCCAGCAACAUUCCUACCACCUACUUUGCUGACACAAAGGUGCAUAAACAGAAGUCCUAUGUGGUCGAACCAUUUUACAUUUUCACCAGCAAUGAAGGAGGGUUCCUGUUGCUCUACCAUUUGGUACUGUCAGCGUUUUGGAUAUUAGCCGUCCUAAUAGCCUUUGCAUGGAUGAUUGUCUGUCCUCUGUUGGGCCCCUUCUGAAGAGUUGGAGUUGGCUUUAUACAAUUAUUCCCAAAUCUUCUAAACUGACAGUGAGGGAGAGUAAUUUGAAAGGACUGCUCAACUCAACGUCAUUUGAAGAUUUGCACCACAGCUGCAUUUUUCCAAUUUCCUGGCAUCUAUUCUGCUCUCCUGGACUUUUCAAAAACAAUUUCUUUCAGAUCCCUGGAGGCCUCUCCCAGGGCCUGUGGUGUGGAGAGUUGGACUUGACCCUACUGUAAGAGACCCAACUUCCAAAGACUGCAUCAGAUGAAAGGCUCUCCAUAUAGACUACAGACUUGUCAGCUGGUUAAGGAGGCAAACAGAACAGUCUGCUACAAACUCCAGUCCAUGUAUCUGUGCUGAAAAUAAAAGGAGUCUUCAGGAAUCAAAGAAGAAAAUAUUUUUAUAAAGAAAUUUUAUUGCAUAAUUCUUGUAUACAAUAAACAUAGGAAAAGGGUUUUUAAUGAAAAUUCAUGUCAUUUUUCAAAAGUGUUGAACUGUCUGGAGAAAAAUUAUUACAAAGCUAUCUAAGGCAAAAAUAAUAUUUA